CUCCAGGGGUAGCGGUGAAAUGCUAUAAUCCCUGGGGGACCGCCGGUGGCGAAAGCGCUCGACGAGGUCGGACCCGACGGUGAGGGACGAAGGCCAGGGGAGCGAACCGGAUUAGAUACCCGGGUAGUCCUGGCUGUAAAGGAUGUGGACUAGGUGCUGGGUGUUCCUCGAGAAUGCUCGGUGCCGAAGGGAAGCCGUUAAGUCCACCGCCUGGGAAGUACGGCCGCAAGGCUGAAACUUAAAGAAAUUGGCGGGGGAGCACCACAAGGGGUGGAGCCUGCGGUUUAAUUGGAUUCAACGCCGGACAACUCACCGGGGGCGACGGCAGAGUGAAGGCCAGGCUAAGGACCUUGCUGGACUCGCCGAGAGGUGGUGCAUGGCCGCCGUCAGCUCGUAUCGUGAGACGUCCUGUCAAGUCAGGUAACGAGCGAGACCCUUGCUCCUAGUUGCCAGCAGGUGCCUUCGGGCACGAUGGGCUACUCUAGGAGGACCGCUGUCGAUAAGACAGAGGAAGGAGAGGGCGACGGUAGGUCCGUAUGCCCCGAAUCUCCCGGGCAACACGCGGGCUACAAUGCGUGGGGCAGAGGGCUGCAACCCCGAGAGGGGAAGCCAAUCCCUAAACCCACGCCUAGUUCGGAUCGAGGGCUAAACCCGCCCUCGUGAAGCUGGAAUCCCUAGUAAUCGUGUGUCAUCGCGCGGUG
rnacentral:rRNA from 1 species